AUGCAUUUGGUUGUCCCAGUUACCACGCACUCACGAGCAGUUCAGCUUGGCCAUGGCCCGCGCAUGUCUGUGAUUGUUGUAACAGGCGUAAACUGCUCUCCUUGGCCUUCCACUCAAGGCUGGUGAAAGAGGCGUGUG
rnacentral:lncRNA from 12 species